ACUCCUACGGGAGGCAGCAGUGGGGAAUAUUGCACAAUGGGCGCAAGCCUGAUGCAGCCAUGCCGCGUGUAUGAAGAAGGCCUUCGGGUUGUAAAGUACUUUCAGCAGUGAGGAAGGCGGAGUCGUUAAUAGCGGCCUCGUUUGACGUUAGCUGCAGAAGAAGCACCGGCUAACUCCGUGCCAGCAGCCGCGGUAAUACGGAGGGUGCGAGCGUUAAUCGGAAUUACUGGGCGUAAAGCGCAUGCAGGUGGUUUGUUAAGUCAGAUGUGAAAGCCCGGGGCUCAACCUCGGAAUUGCAUUUGAAACUGGCAGACUAGAGUACUGUAGAGGGGGGUAGAAUUUCAGGUGUAGCGGUGAAAUGCGUAGAGAUCUGAAGGAAUACCGGUGCGAAGGCGGCCCCUGGACAGAUACUGACACUCAGAUGCGAAAGCGUGGGAAGCAAACAGGAUUAGAUACCCUGGUAGGAUAGCG
rnacentral:rRNA from 1 species